rnacentral:rRNA from 1 species
CCUACGGGAGGCAGCAGUGGGGAAUAUUGCACAAUGGGGGAAACCCUGAUGCAGCGACGCCGCGUGAGUGAAGAAGCGCCUCGGCGUGUAAAGCUCUGUUAGUAGGAACGACGAUGACGGUACCUGUAGAGGAAGCCCCGGCUAACUACGUGCCAGCGCCCCCGGUAAUAUGCAGGGGGCAGGCGUUAUCCGGAUUUACUGGGGGUUAAGGGAGCGUAGACGGCGGGGCAAGUCUGGAGUGAAAGGCCGGGGCCCAACCCCGGGACCGCACUGGAAACUGCCCGGCUGGAGUUCGGGAGAGGUAAGCGGAAUUCCUAGUGUAGCGGUGAAAUGCGUAGAUAUUAGGAGGAACACCAGCGGCGAAGGCGGCUUACUGGACCGUGACUGACGUUGAGGCUCGAAAGCGUGGGGAGCAAACAGGAUUAGAUACCCUAGUAGUC